UCGCGCCCCGUCAUCUCCCCUCCGCCGCUGGUUUCCAUUCAUCCCCAGAAGGCCAAAACCCUAACCACUCCCGCAUCGAAAAUUCGAAAAAAUUGGGAUCCGGCUCUCCCCCGCUCCCAUCCCCCGUCGCCGCCGAUUGUUUUCAAUUCCCCCCCAAAGGCCCAAACCCUGUCUUAGAAUCGCCCACCCACCCAAAGAUCUCAGGUCAGAGUAGAGCAGAUCAAAACACGCAGCAGCUCGGCUGGAUGGGCUCGAGCACCCUCGACCUCGACCAGCUGCCGCACCGUUGGGGUGACGAGGAUGACGAACAAGAAUUCAGUGUCGAUGUGGCCGCGGGGCAAGAAACUGUUAUGGAGACGAUGCGCUCUUGGGCUAAACGCGGGGAAGCUGCCAAGAAGUGCGGCGUCAACCCGAUACCGCCGCCGAUGGGGAUACUCGACCACCCAGAUCUUUUCGAGAGAGCAUGGGGAUGGGACAAAAUAUAUCCGUGGGAUCUGGUACAUCCUUUGGCCCAAUACAAGAGAUACCUCCAGGAUUAUUACAAGCACAACCAAAGUGAAGCCGAUACUACCGCCGGUCUAAAUGGAGAUGAUCGUGAGAAUGACCUGGCAGCUCUAGCCCACUCGUGUACAAAGAUGGAGGGCCAUCUUCUGUUUCUGUUGGACCUCUACUGAAAGCAUUACUACUGAUGAUAAGAUGGAGAUCAGGGUGACAAGUGAAAAGAUCUCCAAGCGCGCUCGUGAAAUGGCUAACGUUCUGGAAUCUGAUCAAUUUCCUGCUGCCGCUGUUUCCUUGAAGUGUAUCACCAAAGAGGCUGAGCUGACUUGUCAGUUGCUGCUUGUCGGCCUGCUCCAUGCACCUUCUCCAUCGCUACGAGCAAUGACAUCAGGUUGUGUGCCUUAAGCUUUAUGACCUACGGAGAGCAUGAAUAUGUUCCUGCUGCUGCUGCUGCCAUGAUGGGCAACAUGAAAGAGGCUGAGUUGAUGCGUGAGUCGCUGAGGAAACCCGCGCAGGGGUAUGACACUAAUGAGAACAUGUUGAGGACCUCGUUUAUCCGGGAUCGUAUCUUGUCAGUUAUGUUGGAAAUGUGUGAUGUGAGAGAGCCUACUGGCAUUCCUGCGAAUUUGAAUUGCGAUGGAUCUGAUGGCAUCACCUUUGCAGAGAAUGAGAUAAAUGAAAAUAAGGUAUGCUGAAGAUUGGGCGGCUAGCUCAAAUAAGUUGGCACCUUAUGCUCUGCUUGUGGAACUACAUAAUAAUAUGCAUUGUGUCGGGUGGAGGAGACACAGCCGGGUGGCAGAAUGCGCCCGCCUAAGCCCUGAGGGAGAAUGAACUCGGGGUAGCUAGGAUUAGUCCGAUCUAGAUGCAAGAACACGAUGAACACAGAAGGUUUAGAGUGGUUCGGGCCGCCGGAGCGUAAUAUCUUACAUCCACUGUGUGUUGUAUUGCCUGUGCUCACAAGAGAUUGCUCAAGAGUGGUUCUAGCUGGUGAGCUGAGAAUGUGAAGGAGAGAGUCUGAGUCCACUCCCUUCGUCCUGAGACUAGCGUGUGCUCCCUUUUCAUAGUCAAAGGGAGGCACGUACAUAGCCGUUGGGACCCCGACAGGUGAGCCCAACGUGGAUGUAUUUAAAUAACAUAACGCCUAGAGCUAUUAUGGUUCUACGCCUGGGGAAGAUCUUAUUCCGGGAUUUCGCUGCCUCUUCCGCAUGGAUGUACUGAUCGGCGUAGACCCUCCGACCGGCGUGGUCUUGCCCUGUCAUGUUGGUGCGGCGCUUGCAGCUAGCCGGGUAGGCUGCGCCACGCAUGCUGUUCAUGCCGCGUAGCUUGCGUCGUAGGCGGCAUGAUGGAAAGGGUCGUGCCGUCGCAUCCAUUUAAUGCGGCAGACUAACAUGCACCGCGCACGCGGCGCCUGCGGCUGCACUGUGCACCUUGGUAAUACGCGACUAAUAGUGGGGUCUGGCAAAGGCUGCCCCGUGCUCUGCGGUGACAGAGCACGCCUCAGCCUCCCGCAUUAAAUGCGGGUGGGUGAGGGAGCUUCCAUCGGAAGGCUUGCGUCCACGCGCGCGUCUGUGGGACACGUGUCGGGCAUGCUCCCAGCGGAAGGCUAGCGCCCGCGCCCACGUCUGUGGGACACGUGGCGGCUCCAGACCCCUCCCGAGCGGAGUGCUGAGCCGAGGGCUUGCGGGGGUCCGGAUGGACACGUGGAAGUCCCGGACCCGGUUGGGGGUCCGGAUGGGCACGUGGAGGUCCCGCACCCGACUGUGGGGGUCCGAAUCCACGGCUGAAGGCCAUGAGCAUCUCCACCUUUGGGACACAUGGCGUCACCGGAUCUAUCCCCGCGCGGUGGAGUGGGUCCGAGGCCGUUGGCUCGGUGAGACGGAGUCAGCCCACAAGGGUCUGGCUACUCAAGUCCUUGGGGUGUAGUUACGGAUAACUAUAUGUGUAUUAGUCUUGUCACCGUAGGAGUGGGUACCCCAGUUGCGGGGUACCGACACAUUGAAUUAGGAUGAAUCCAACGGCAAGAACUCCGAGAAGGAAGUAGCAAGAAACAGCAUGGGAGAAAGGAAUGGGAUAGAUGAAAAUAAGGGCCCAAGGGGGAACUAACAAGAAACAGCUUGGAGAAAAGGAACAAGUUGGUGGAUAUGUUGAAAAAUUCAGCUGAGUUCCUUGGAUGAAAAAGCAAGCAAGAAAGCAGAAGUGGACCAGGCUCAUCUUUGCAAACAAACAUGUGUUUUAUAAAAUUCAGCCAAGUCCCUUCGAUGGAAAAGCAGGCAAUAAGGCAGAAGUGGAGCACAUAAAAGAGGUUCAAGUUUACUCACAAGUUUUAGAGUGAUGGGGACUAAAGUUUAGUCAGGAGAACCAAACAUGGCCUUACCUUAGGUGCUAGGUUUGGUAGCAAAGAUGGACAUAGAGAUUGCACUGAGUACCCCAAAUUGGAUUCGAUGUCGACGUGCACUCCAGAUUCCCCGUCACUGUACUAGCACCUGUUCGACGCAGACAGAAUACAACCUAUCGCUGGAAACUAGCGGCCAGAUG